rnacentral:rRNA from 1 species
GACGAACGCUGGCGGCGUGCCUAACACAUGCAAGUCGAACGGGGUAGAGAGCUUCGGUUUUCUACUUAGUGGCGAACGGGUGAGUAACGCGUGAGGAACCUACCUUUCAGUGGGGGACAACAGUUGGAAACGACUGCUAAUACCGCAUAACGUAUUCGGACCGCAUGAUCUGAAUACCAAAGCUUUAUGUGCUGAAAGAUGGCCUCGCGUCUGAUUAGCUAGUUGGUGGGGUAACGGCCCACCAAGGCGACGAUCAGUAGCCGGUCUGAGAGGAUGAACGGCCACAUUGGGACUGAGAUACGGCCCAGACUCCUACGGGAGGCAGCAGUGGGGAAUAUUGGGCAAUGGGGGAAACCCUGACCCAGCAACGCCGCGUGAAGG